GUAUUUAGUGUGGCACUACUUUAUGCAACAUUAUAUGUUUGGCUUGGAGUAUAGAUUCACCUGAUUCAAUGAAGGUUACAGACAGUAAGUAACUUGCAAGCAUGAAUUUUUUCCACCAUUAAAUAUACUCCUUUUUUCCUAUGUUUACAUGCCACCACAUAUUUAUGGGUUCAACUUUUGACCAACUAAUCGUGGGUUAGUUCAUAAAAAUUAUACCAUUGAAUUUAUAUUAUAAAAUAGUUUCUAGUAGUAUAUAUAUUUUCUGACAUGUGAAUCAUCUAUUAUUGGUCAAUGUUCAAACACAAAACCCGAGGGCGCCAUGUAAAUAGAGACGGAGGUAGUAGUUAUUAGUUUUCGCAAUGUAUACAGUUUUAAACUAUUAGUUUCUUUUAAGAAUUGAUGCGUACGCGUUCAAUUGAUGUCGCGAAUUCAACAAGUGCUUUGAUGUCUCUGUCUACAAGUUUGUGAGUUAGAUUGGUUCAGUAAAUGGCCUAAACUGUUUGAAUUAAUUAGCACUUUGACCAUCGUGUUUGUUCAGCCUUCAAGGUGAUUAGCACUCAGCUAACUAUUGGAAAGAUGUUGGUACCUUGUUUUUUCAAGCUCUGAAGACAUGCACAUUCAAGAAUAGGUAUGGCUACAUGCUUUCUAUAUCUGUCAGCUUCAUAAAUCAUUUUGGAGGGGUGCCUCUUAUUGGAGAGGUCUGGUAUGCAUAUUUAACCAAAGAAAACAUAAAUUUUUGAUAUAAUAAAGAUUGAUGAAAAUUUGGACUUUAGACUAUAUCAGGGACAAUUUUAAUGAUAAAUUAUAGGAUGUUUGUAUCUUGGGGACAUCUUCAUGCCAACUUACGUUUAAUAUUAAGAUAUGUCCCCUCAUGUGCCAGUUUUUGUUAGAAGUUCAUGAUCUGUUCUUAGUUCCAGCAUGUUUUUUCACAUUUCUGUAGAGUUUUGAGUAUAACUUAAAGUUCUAGAUGCAUAUAAGCUUCUGAGCUAACUCAAGCUCACUUGAUGGUUCUAAAAAAAUUCUGCAAAAAUAUGACCAUGACAACAAGAUAAAUGGAGGUUCAGAGGCAGAGUGGAUGCCUGCACCAACAACUUUAUAAAUUAAACUACGUUUUGCUAGAUGACUCAAAUUUUUGAAUGUGAGCAUCAUGUUUUGGGAAUGCAAUUAACAAUUGAAUCAAGUGAAGCUGAAAGCAAGAGAUCUACUGCUCAAUAUGGAAUUUAAUUCCUUUCUUGCAAAAGCACUAGAGAUGAGUGAGGAGAUUAUUCAAUAUUGGAUUUAAUUCCUUUCUUGUACCCAUGGUCGAUAUAUUGUUCCAUACUGCUGUUGGGGAACAUAGUAAUUUCAAAAAAAUUCCUACGCACACGCAAGAUCAUGGUGAUGCAUAACAACAAGACGGGAGAGUGUGUCCACGUAACCUCGUAGACCGAAAGUGGAAGCGUUAGCACAAUGCGGUUGAUGUAGUCGUACGUCUUCACGAUCCGACCGAUCAAGUACCGAACGCACAGCACCUCCGAGUUCAGCACACGUUCAGCUCGAUGACGUCCCUCGAACUCCAAUCAAGCCGAGCUUUGAGGGAGAGUUUCGUCAGCACGACGGCGUGGUGGCAAUGAUGAUGUUCUACGGACGCAGGGCUUCGCCUAAGCACCACUACGAUAUUAUCGAGGUGGAUUAUGGUGGAGGGGGGCACCGCACACGACUAAGAGAUCCAAUGGAUCAAUUGUUGUGUCUAUGGGGUGCCCCCUCCCCCGUAUAUAAAGGAGUGGAGGAGGGGCCUGGCCAGGAGGAGGAGGCGCGCCCAAGGGGGGAGUCCUACUCCCAUCGGGAGUAGGACUCCUCCUUUUCCUAUUUGGAGAGGGAGAGGGAAGGAAGAGGAAGGAGGGAGAAAGGAAAGGGGGGCCGGCCCCCUCCCAAUUCGGAUUGGGCUUGGGGGGGGCGCCCCCUCCCUUGCUCCUUUCCCCUCCUUUCCACUAAAGCCCAUUAAGGCCCAUAUACCUCCCGGGGGUUUCGAUAACCUCCCGGAGCUCCGGUAUUGUCCCAAUCUCACCCGGAACCAUUCCGAUGUCCAAAUAUAGUCGUCCAAUAUAUCGAUCUUUAUGUCUCGACCAUUUGGAGACUCCUCGUCAUGUUCGUGAUCACAUCCGGGACUCUGAACUAUCUUCGGUACAUCAAAACACAUAAUUUCAUAAUAUAACCGUCAUCGAACUUUAAGCGUGCGGACCCUACGGGUUCGAGAACUAUGUAGACAUGACCGAGACUCGUCUCCGGUCAAUAACCAAUAGCGGAACCUAGAUUCUCAUAUUGGCUCUCACAUAUUCUACGAAGAUCUUUAUCGGUCAAACCGCAUAACAACAUACGUUGUUCCCUUUGUCAUCGGUAAGUUACUUGCCCGAGAUUCGAUCAUCGGUAUCUCAAUACCUAGUUCAAUCUCGUUACUGGCAAGUCUCUUUACUCGUUAUGUAAUGUAUCAUCCCGCGACUAACUCAUUAGCUACAUUGCUUGCAAGGCUUAUAGUGAUGUACAUUACCGAGAGGGCCCAGAGAUACCUCUUCAACAAUCGGAGUGACAAAUCCUAAUCUCGAAAUACACCAAGUCAACAUGUACCUUCGGAGACACUUAUAGAGAUCCUUUAUAAUCACCCAGUUACAUUGUGACAUUUGGUAGAACACAAAGUGUUCCUCCGGUAAACGGGAGUUGCAUAAUCUCAUAGUUGUAGGAACAUGUAUAAGUCAUGAAGAAAGCAAUAGCAACAUACUAAAACGAUCAAGUGCUAAGGUAACGAAAUGGGUCAAGUCAAUCACAUCAUUCUCCUAAUGAUGUGAUCCCGUUAAUCAAAUGACAACUCAUGUCUAUGGUUAGGAAAUACAACCAUCUUUGAUCAACGAGCUAGUCAAGUAGAGGCAUACUAGUGACACUAUGUUUGUCUAUGUAUUCACACAUGUAUUAUGUUUUCGGUUAAUACAAUUCUAGCAUGAAUAAUAAACAUUUAUCAUGAUAUAAGGAAAUAAAUAAUAACUUAUUAUUGCCUCUAGGGCAUAUUUUUCCUUCAGUCUCCCACUUGCACUAGGGUCAAUAAUCUAGAUUACACAGUAAUGAUCCUAACACCCAUGGAGCCUUAGUGCUGAUCAUGUUUUGCUCGUGGAAGAGGCUUAGUCAACGGGUCUGCAACAUUCAGAUCCAUAUGUAUCUUGCAAAUUUCUAUGUCUCCCACCUGGACUUGGUCCCGUAUGGAAUUGAAGUAUCUCUUGGUGUGCUUGGUUCUGUCGUGAAAUCUGGAUUCCUUUGCCAAGGCAAUUGCACCAGUAUUGUCACAAAAGAUUUUCAUUGGACCCGAUGCACUAGGUAUGACACCUAGAUCGGAUAUGAACUCCUUCAUCCAGACUCCUUCAUUUGCUGCUUCCGAAGCAGCUAUGUACUCCGCUUCACAUCUAGAUCCCGCCACGAUGCUUCGUUUAGAACUGCACCAAUUGACAGCUGCACCGUUCAAUAUAAACAUGUAUCCGGUUUGCGAUUUAGAAUCGUUCGGAUCAGUGUCAAAGCUUGCAUCGACGUAACCAUUUACAACUAGAUCUUUGUCACCUCCAUAAACGAGAAACAUAUCCUUUGUCCUUUUCAGGUAUUUCAGGAUAUUCUUGACCGCUGUCCAGUGAUCCAUUCCUGGAUUACUUUGGUACCUCACUGCUAAACUUAUUGCUAAGCAUACAUCAGGUCUGGUACACAGCAUUGCAUACAUGAUAGAGCCUAUGGAUGAAGCAUAGGGAACCUCUUUCAUUUUCUCUCUAUCUUCUGCUGUAGUCGGGCAUUGAGUCUGACUCAACUUCACACCUUGUAAUACAGGCAAGAACCCUUUCUUUGCUUGAUCCAUUUUGAACCUUUUCAAAACUUUAUCAAGGUAUGUGCUUUGUGAAAGUCCAAUUAAGCGUCUUGAUCGAUCUCUAUAGAUCUUGAUGCCUAAUAUAUAAACAGCUUCACCGAGGUCUGUCAUUGAAUUUUUUUUAUCAAGUAUCCUUUUAUGCUAUCCAGAAAUUCUAUAUCAUUUCCAAUCAACAAUAUGUCGUCUACAUAUAAUAUCAGAAAUGCUACAGAGCUCCCACUCACUUUCUUGUAAAUACAUGCUUCUCAAAAAGUCUGUAUAAAACCAUAUGCUUUGAUCACACUAUCAAAGAGUUUAUUCCAACUCUGAGAGGCUUGCACCAGUCCAUAAAUGGAUCUCUGGAGCUUGCACACUUUGUUAGCACCUUUUGGAUCGACAAAACCUUAUGGUUGCAUCAUAUACAACUCUUCUGCUAGAAAUCCAUUCAGGAAUGCAGUUUUGACAUCCAUUUGCCAUAUUUCAUAAUCAUAAAAUGCGUCAAUUUCUAACAUGAUUCGGACAGACUUAAGCAUCGCUACAGGUGAGAAAGUCUCAUCGUAGUCAACCCCUUGAACUUGUCGAAAACCUUCCGCAACAAGUCGAGCUUUGUAGACAGUAACAUUACCAUCAGCCUCAGUCUUCUUCUUGAAGAUCCAUUUAUUCUCGAUGGCUUGCCGAUCAUCAGGCAAGUCAACCAAAGUCCAUACUUUGUUCUCAUACAUGGAUCCCAUCUCAGAUUUCAUGGUCCCAAGCCAUUUUGCAGAAUCUGGGCUCAUCAUCGCUUCCUCAUAGUUUGUAGGUUCGCCAUGGUCAAGUAACAUGACCUCCAGAAUAGGAUUACCGUACCACUCUGGUGCGGAUCUUACUCUGGUUGACCUACGAGGUUCGGUAGUAACUCGAUCUGAAGUUUCAUGAUCAAUAUCAUUAGCUUCCUCACUAAUUGGUGUAGUCAUCACAGGAACUGGUUUCUGUGAUGAACUACUUUCCAAUAAGGGAGCAGGUACAGUUACCUCAUCAAGUUCUACUUUCCUCCCACUCACUUCUUUCGAGAGAAAGUCCUUCUCUAGAAAGGAUCCAAAUUUAGCAACAAAAGUCUUGUCUUCCAAUCUGUGAUAGAAGGUGUACCCAAUAGUCUCGUUUGGGUACCUAUGAAGACACAUUUCUCCGAUUUGGGUUCGAGCUUAUCAGUUUGAAGUUUUUUCACAUAAGCAUCGCAGCCCCAAACUUUAAGAAACGACAACUUUGGUUUCUUGCCAAACCAUAGUUCAUAAGGCGUCAUCUCAACGGAUUUUGAUGGUGCCCUAUUUAACGUGAAUGCGGCCAUCUCUAAAGCAUAACCCCGAAACGAUAGCGGUAAAUCAGUAAGAGACAUCAAGAUCGCACCAUAUCUAGUAAAGUAUGAUUACGACGUUCGGACACACCAUUACGUUGUGGUGUUCCGGGUGGCGUGAGUUGCGAAACUAUUCCGCAUUGUUUCAAAUGUAAACCAAACUCGUAACUCAAAUAUUCUCCUCCACGAUCAGAUUGUAGAAACUUUACUUUCUUGUUACGAUGAUUUUCCACUUCACUCUGAAAUUCUUUGAACUUUUCAAAUGUUUCACACUUAUGUUUCAUUAAGUAGAUAUAUGCAUAUCUGCUCAAAUCAUUUGUGAAGGUGAGAAAAUAACGAUACCCGCCGCGAGCCUCAAUGUUCAUUAGACCACACACAUCAGUAUGUAUGAUUUCCAACAAAUCUGUUGCUCGCUCCAUAGUUCCGGAGAACGACGUUUUAGUCAUCUUUCCCAUGAGGCACGGUUCGCAAGUACCAAGUGAUUCAUAAUCAAGUGAUUCCAGAAGUCCAUCAGUAUGGAGUUUCUUCAUACGCUUUACACUAAUAUGACCCAAACGGCAGUGCCACAAAUAAGUUGCACUAUAAUUAUCAACUCUGCAUCUUUUGGCUUCAACAUUAUGAAUAUGUGUAUCACUACUAUCGAGGUUCAAUAAAAAUAGACCACUCUUCAAGGGUGCAUGACCAUAAAAGAUAUUACUCAUAUAAAUAGAACAACAAUUAUUCUCUGAUUUAAAUGAAUAACCGUCUCGCAUGAAACAAGAUCCAGAUAUAAUGUUCACGCUUAACACUGGCACCAAAUAACAAUUAUUCAGGUCUAAAAUUAAUCCCAAAGGUAGAUGUAGAGGUAGCGUGCCGACUGCGAUCACAUCGACUUUGGAACCAUUUUCCAUGCGCAUCGUCACCUCGUCCUUAGUCAAUCUUCGCUUAAUCCGUAGUCCUUGUUUCGAGUUGCAAAUAUUAGCAAUAGAACAAGUAUCAAAUACCCAGGUGCUACUGCGAGCAUUAGUAAGGUACACAUCAAUAACAUGUAUAUCACAUAUACCUUUGUUCACCUUGCCAUCCUUCUUAUCCGCCAAAUACUUAGGGCAGUUCCGCUUCCAGUGACUAGUCUGCUUGAAGUAGAAGCACUCAGUCUCAGGCUUAGGUCCAGACUUGGGUUUCUUCUCUUGAGCAGCAACUUGUUUGCCGUUCUUCUUGAAGUUCCCCUUCUUCUUCCCUUUACCCUUUUUCUUGAAACUGGUGGUCUUGUUGACCAUCAACACUUGAUGCUCCUUUUUGAUUUCUACCUCCGCAGCUUUUAGCAUUGCGAAGAGCUUGGGAAUAGUCUUGUUCAUCCCUUGCAUAUUAUAGUUCAUCACGAAGCUGUUGUAGCUUGGUGGCAGUGAUUGAAGAAUUCUGUCAAUGACACUAUCAUCAGGAAGAUUAACUCCCAGUUGAAUCAAGUGAUUGCAAUACCCAGACAUUUUGAGUAUAUGUUCACUGACAGAACUAUUCUCCUCCAUCUUGCAGCUAUAGAACUUAUUGGAGACUUCAUAUCUCUCAAUCCGAGCAUUUGCUUGAAAUAUUAACUUCAUCUCCUGGAACAUCUCAUAUGCUCCAUGACGUUCAAAAUGUCGUUGAAGUCUCGACUCUAAGCCGUAAAGCAUGACACACUGAACUAUAGAGUAGUCAUCAACACGCGACUGCCGGGCAUUCACAAUGUCUGUAGUUGCUGGCGCAGGUGGUACACCUAGCGGUGCUUCCAGGACGUAACUCUUCUAUGCAGCAAUGAGGAUAAUCCUCAAGUUACGGACCCACUCCGUGUAAUUGCUACUAUCAUCUUUCAACUUAGCUUUCUCAAGGAACACAUUAAAAUUUAACGGAACAACAACACGAGCCAUCUAUCUACAACAAACAUAGACAAGCAAAAUACUAUUAGGUACUAAGUUCAUGAUAAAUUUAAGUUCAAUUAAUCAUAUUACUUAAGAACUCCCACUUAGAUAGACAUCUCUUUAAUCAUCUAAGUGAUCACGUGAUCCAAAUCAACUAAACCAUGUCCGAUCAUCACGUGAGAUGGAGUAGUUUUCAAUGGUGAACAUCACUAUGUUGAUCAUAUCUACUAUAUGAUUCACGCUCGACCUUUCGGUCUCAGUGUUCCGAGGCCAUAUAUGUAUAUGCUAGGCUCAUCAAGUUUAACCUGAGUAUUCCGUGUGUGCAACUGUUUUGCACCCGUUGUAUUUGAACAUAGAGCCUAUCACACCCGAUCAUCACAUGGUGUCUCAGCACAAAGAACUUUCGCAACGGUGCAUACUCAGGGAGAACACUUAUACCUUGAAAUUUAGUGAGAGAUCAUCUUAUAAUGCUACCGUCAAUCAAAGCAAAAUAAGAUGCAUAAAGGAUAAACAUCACAUGCAAUCAAUAUAAGUGAUAUGAUAUGGCCAUCAUCAUCUUGUGCUUGUGAUCUCCAUCUCCGAAGCACCGUCCUGAUCACCAUCAUCACCGGCGCGACACCUUGAUCUCCAUCAUAGCAUCGUUGUCGUUUUGCCACCUAUUGCUUCUACGACUAUCGCUACCGCUUAGUGAUAAAGUAAAGCAAUUACAGGGCGAUUGCAUUGCAUAUAAUAAAGCGACAACCAUAUGGCCCCUGCCAGUUGCCGAUAACUCGGUUACAGAACAUGAUCAUCUCAUACAAUAAAAUAUAGCAUCAUGCCUUGACCAUAUCACAUCACAACAUGCCCUGUAAAAACAAGUUAGACGUCCUCUACUUUGUUGUUGCAAGUUUUACGUGGCUGCUACGGGCUGAGCAAGAACCGUUCUUACCUACGCAUCAAAACCACAAUGAUAGUUCGUCAAGUUAGUGCUAUUUUAACCUUAUCAAGGACCGGGCGUAGCCACACUCGGUUCAACUAAAGUUGGAGAAACUGACACCCGCCAGCCACCUAUGUGCAAAGCACGUCAAUAGAACCAGUCUCGCGUAAGCGUACACGUAAUGUCGGUCUGGGCCGCUUCAUCCAACAAUACCGCCGAACCAAAGUAUGACAUGCUGUUAAGCAGUAUGACUUGUAUCACCCACAACUCACUUGUGUUCUACUCGUGCAUAUAACAUCUACGCAUAAAACCAGGCUCGGAUGCCACUGUUGGGGAACGUAGUAAUUUCAAAAAAAUUCCUACGCACACGCAAGAUCAUGGUGAUGCAUAGCAACGAGAGGGGAGAGUGUGUGUCCACAUACCCUCGUAGACCGAAAGCGGAAGCGUUAGCAAAACGCGGUUGAUGUAGUCGUACAUCUUCACGAUCCGACCGAUCAAGUUCCGAGCGCACAACACCUCCGAGUUCAGCACACGUUCAGCUUAAUGACGUCCCUCAAACUCCGAUCUAGCCGAGCUUUGAGGGAGAUUUCCGUCAGCACGAUGGCGUGGUGACGAUGAUAAUGUUCUAUCGAUGCAGGGCUUCGCCUAAGCACCGCUACGAUUAUCGAGGUGGAUUAUGGUGGAGGGGGCACCACACACGGCUAAGAGAUCCAAGGGAUCAAUUGUCAUGUCUAUGGGGUGCCCCCCUCCCCCGUAUAUAAAGGAGUUGAGGAGGGGGGCGGCCAGGAGGAGCUGGCGCGCCCAAGGGGGAGUCCUACUCCCACCGGGAGUAGGACUCCUCCUUUUCCUAUCUGGAGAGGGAGAGGGAAGGAAGAGGAAGGAGGGAGGAAGGAAAGGGGGGCCGGCCCCCCAAUUCGGAUUGGGCUUGGGGGGGGGGCCUCCCUUGCUCCUUUCCCCUCCUUUCCACUAAAGCCCAUUAAGGCCCAUAUACCUCCCGGGGGGUUCCGAUAACCUCCCGGAGCUCCGGUAUUGUCCCAAUCUCACCCGGAACCAUUCUGGUGUCCAAAUAUAGUCGUCCAAUAUAUCGAUCUUUAUGUCUCGACCAUUUCGAGACUCCUCGUCAUGUCCGUGAUCACAUCCGGGACUCUGAACUAUCUUCAGUACAUAAAACACAUAAACUCAUAAUAUAACCGUCAUCGAACUUUAAGCGUGCGGACCUACGGUUUCGAGAACUAUGUAGACAUGACCGAGACUCAUCUCCGGUCAAUAACCAAUAGCGGAACCUGGAUGCUCAUAUUGGCUCCCACAUAUUCUACGAAGAUCUUUAUCGGUCAAACCGCAUAACAACAUACGUUGUUCCCUUUGUCAUCGGUAAGUUACUUGCCCGAGAUUCGAUCAUCGGUAUCUCAAUACCUAGUUCAAUCUCGUUACUGGAAAGUCUCUUUACUCGUGAUGUAAUGUAUCAUCCCGCAACUAACUCAUUAGCUACAUUGCUUGCAAGGCUUAUAGUGAUGUACAUUACCGAGAGGGCCCAGAGAUACCUCUCCGACAAUCGGAGUGACAAAUCCUAAUCUCGAAAUACACCAACUCAACAUGUACCUUUGGAGACACCUGUAGAACUCCUUCAUGACCACCCAGUUAUGUUGUGACAUUUGGUAGCACACAAAGUGUUCCUCCGGUAAACAAGAGUUGCAUAAUAUCAUAGUUGUAGGAACAUGUAUAAGUCAUGAAGAAAGCAAUAGCAACAUACUAAAACGAUCAAGUGCUAAGCUAAUGAAAUGGGUCAAGUCAAUCACAUCAUUCUCCUAAUGAUGUGAUCCCGUUAAUCAAAUGACAACUCAUGUCUAUGGUUAGGAAACACAACCAUCUUUGAUCAACGAGCUAGUCAAGUAGAGGCAUACUAGUGACACUAUGUUUGUAUAUGUAUUCACACAUGUAUUAUGUUUACGGUUAAUACAAUUCUAGCAUGAAUAAUAAACAUUUAUCAUGAUAUAAGGAAAUAAAUAAUAACUUUAUUAUUCCAUCUAGGGCAUAUUUCCUUCAACUGCAAGCAUUCACCCGAUCAGGUUUCUAUUCAUUUUUGUUAGAUCCGUCGAUGAAGAAAACAACACAUUUCAAGAUAUGAUGGUUUAGGUACUUCAAGUUUUGUUGUACUCUGUCAUUUGCCUUUGUGGGAACGACACUGCUCUAUUGCUUGCUUAUUUAAGAUCAUGGCAAUCAUUUUAUCUAGCAUAUCUGUUUCUAAUUUUCUCCCCUUAUUGUUGCAGGUUAGAGUGCAGCUUUCAGAUAACUUCUUUAUUUAGGAUAGUUGGAAUACUAUGACUAGAUAUAGAAG
rnacentral:lncRNA from 1 species